GAAGUGCCUGUUAUAAGGAUUUAUGGAUCAACACCAGCCGGCCAGAAGACUUGCUUGCAUGUUCAUAGAGCUUUACCCUAUUUAUAUGCCCCUGUGCUGAUAUACCUCUUCAAUCAGACCAAGAAGGUGAUGCAUUUACGAAUGCUAUAUCUCUUGGAUUGGAGAAAGCCUUGAAGCCAAAGGGUAAUGCUGGUUCAAAUCGUCAGCAUGUUCAUGGUUGCAGCCUUGUACGAGCUAAGAGAUUUUAUGGUUACCAUUCAUCAGAAGAGCUAUUUGUCAAGAUAUACCUCUAUUAUCCACAUGAUGUCUCUCGUGCUGCUAAUCUCCUUCUG